GACGAACUGUGCGAACGUUGUUCGGAAUCACUGGGCUUAAAGGGUGCGUAGGCGGGUCCUUAAGUCAGGGGUGAAAUCCUGGAGCUCAACUCCAGAACUGCCUUUGAUACUGAAGAUCUUGAGUUCGGGAGAGGUGAGUGGAACUGCGAGUGUAGAGGUGAAAUUCGUAGAUAUUCGCAAGAACACCAGUGGCGAAGGCGGCUCACUGGCCCGAUACUGACGCUGAGGCACGAAAGCGUGGGUAGCAAACAGG
rnacentral:rRNA from 1 species